GAUGGUGGCUCAGUGGUAGAGCAUUUGCCUAGAAUGUAUGAGACUCUGGGUUCAAUCCCCAGCACCACCA
rfam:Ictidomys tridecemlineatus contig016811, whole genome shotgun sequence.